rnacentral:rRNA from 1 species
UACGUAGGGGGCAAGCGUUAUCCGGAUUUACUGGGUGUAAAGGGAGCGCAGACGGCAGUGCAAGUCUGAUGUGAAAGCCCGGGGCUCAACCCCGGAACUGCAUUGGAAACUGUACAGCUUGAGUGUCGGAGAGGUAAGCGGAAUUCCUAGUGUAGCGGUGAAAUGCGUAGAGAUUGGGAGGAACACCAGUGGCGAAGGCGACUUACUGGGCCGUAACUGACGCUGAUGCGCGAAAGCGUGGGGAGCGAACAGGAUUAGAUACCCCCGUA